rnacentral:lncRNA from 1 species
CAAUUGAGCAAGAGGAUGUAACAAUUAUAAACAUAUAUGCACCCAUCACUGCACCUCGGCCUCCCAAAGUGCUGGGAUUACAGGGGUGAGCCAGAUUCUCUUGCCUCAGCCUCCUGUGUAACUGGGACUGCAGGCAUGCGCCACCAUGCCCGGCUAAUUUUGUUUUGUUUUGUUUUUUUAGUAUUUAUUGAUCAUUCUUGGGUGUUUCUCAGAGAGGGGG